AUACGGGGGGAGCAAGCGUUGUCCUGAAUCAUUGGGCGUAAAGGGCACGUAGGCGGUUUCUUAAGUCGAAUGUGAAAUCUCACGGCUCAACCGUGAAACUGCGUUCGAAACUAAGUGACUUGAGUUUGGGAGAGGUGUACGGAAUUCCUGGUGUAGCGGUGGAAUGCGUAGAUAUCAGGAAGAACACCAAUGGCGAAGGCAGUACACUGGCCUGAAACUGACGCUGAGGUGCGAAAGCGUGGGUAGCAAACGGGAUUAGAAACCCCAGUAGUCC
rnacentral:rRNA from 1 species